AGACAGGAGGAAAGCAAGGAAACCAGGCCAAACGUCUUGGUUAACUCUUCCGUGAAAGGACGCCACGUGAGAUGAUCUAAGAAGCCAGAAAGACAGACACAAGGAAAUCACAGCAACUCUUUGGAGUGCAAACAGCAACCCCACAAUCCAACCUACCCGAAAUCCUGCGGUUCAUUUGAGGUUUGCCCCGCUAGUCAGGAGGUGAUUCAGUGAUGGCUACAAACGCUCCUCAUGUGCAUCCUGGACCUGGCACACCUGGCUUGCCCAUCACCAGCCUGGAGACACCUGCCAGGAGCAGAAGCCCGGAGGCCAAUAAAGACCCCAACUUUGCAAGUCAGGGGCGCGAGCGCUCUCGCCUCUCAGGUCCGCAGAGGGAACCGAUUUCCGGCCUCGAGGGUGGGGUGCGGGGUCAGUGUUCUCUACAGGAUAUAGGAGGACGUGCCCCCGAAGCUGGUCCGUCCCUCCACCCCCUGGGAUGCCACAGAACACCCGCCAGCGAGUUUCUUCCCCAGCGCCCACGAGAGCUGGGCUGCGGGCGGCAGCAGCAGGCGAAGAAUCCAGCGCCGCGAACUCAGGCCCCAGCGGUGCACGACCCCCCCACACCCCCGCAACAAAACUUGCGGCGGCCGCCUCUCGACUCAGCUGUGCACCCAGCCUGGCGCGGCGCCCUCACCUCAGAAACGCUGGGUGGACUUCGUGGUAAUUUCCCAUCCAGAGGGCAGCCGGCAGCCGCGCCGCCGCGCCUCGGCCCAGCUCCUGGCGCCGCAGGUCGCCCCUCCCGCGUUCCCAAAAGCACCGCGCUCGCUCAGAAGCUCAGGCAGCCUCGCGACCCUCACCGACCCCUCCCAGUACCGCCGCUGUCUCAACCGCCACCCAGCCCCUCGCCUGCGCCUGCGCCUGCGGCCCACUGGCUCCUCAGGGUCCCGAUCGGCGCGUCAGGAGAACCCAAGGCGCAGGCCCGGCGGGGCCUUAAAGGGACCCGCGGCCUCUACUGCACAACGGGUUGGAGCAGUCUCCCUGAGCACAUCAAUUUAUUUGCUGAAAGGCCACAUCUCACUAUGGAGUGAGGAUCAAGAAGUAAAGGUCUGAAAGAGAGAAGCUGCGGGGCUGGGGAGACUGUUGGUCGGAGACACAUCGGGGGCCCAAGGAAAAGGGAGGAUUGUGGGGAGGAAUCGGCGUAGAGAUGAGAGGAGCAGCAGAGACAGUGUCUCACGCAGAGGUGUGCCCAGACACCCUGAACCAAGUUACUUAACCUCGUCAACCACUGUGGCAUCCGUGGGGUCCGUGGGCCCGUCGGUCUUCAGGAAGGGAUUCUGUGUCCCUGUUAUUGUGUGUCAACAUGUGCUAGCCUGAUAUUUAUAUUUUUAAUGAGAGAAAAUGAACUCCAGAAUUUGGGAACGUUUUUUCGGUUUUGCUUUAUACCUCUUGGACACUCCUUCCGAAGGAUUGGGUCUCAAGGGCAUUGGGGUGUGACUAUGGUAGACAAGGGUGAUUAAUUUUCAUCUAAAACUCUUUGGCGGAUUCCCCUGCUCUCCGGUUCUCCAGUCUAACAGUACUUUAAAACAGAAGAUCAGCCAACAUUUGGAGAGUUGUUUUCUUUGCAUUUUAAUGAUAAACUUGAUUUAUUCAAUUCUAAAAGUUUUCUUAUUCUGAUGUUGUCUUUCUUUAUUUUGAGUAUAAAACGAUGGCCAUACUAUGUUGGAACCACCAAGGUUCUUCUCUUCACUUGUUUAUUUGUAAUGUCUCUUUAUAUCUGAGAAUUUCCUGAGUAAACUGGGAACUGUUAUACAUAAUUCCUUGUUUUUCAACAUUCUUUGUAAACAGGAAUCAGGAUUGGGGAUGGGGAGGGAGGGAGGAGUAGGAGUCCUGAUUUGUGGAACAGAAAAUCAUGCAUUACUUAUGUGAUGGAGCAAAGGGUUUAAAAACUCUUAGCAUCCCCAGAUUUCCCCUUUUACUGUUUGCUGAAGAAAAUUCUGUCUUUGACGCCCUUCCUUACCCUCUCCAGGCCUGUGAGAAGCUUCCUCCCUAUUCAUCAGUUUAUUUCCUCCUCUGCUCCCCGCCCCGCCCCCUGCAGCCCCCUCCUCUUUUUCAGUGAAGCUGCUGGAGGAAAGUCGGGUUUGGGAGAAGACCCACACAGGCAAGGACAGCAGGAGAACACUGACAUAGUUACACUCUUGUCACCAGCACUUUUAUUAAGAUGUGAAAAGACAAAGACAACAGAGGAGAGCAGAGAAUAAUAUCUCUGUUUCAGCUAUUCCAGGAUGUUAUGCCAAUUAUCCAGAGUCCUUGAUCUGAUGUAGUAAAGAGCUAGGGACAUUUUCCCUGAAGGCUUUGAUUACUGGCAAAAUCUCAUUAAAGGUGUAUACACUGAUAGGUUGGCCACAGGAUGGAUAAAAGAAGAGCCUCUGGCCUACAUCUGCCAAGAUAUAUGUGCAAAAAUGCUCUCUGCAGCAUUAUUUUUUAUUGUAAAAUAGCAGAAUGAAUUUAUUAUUCAAUAAUUAUAAAAUGUUCAAAUGUAUGUGACUAUAUUCGGACAAUGAAAAAUGCAGCUGUUAGACAAUACGGAUGAUUCAGAUGAUGUUACUAAUGAAAAUAAUAACAGAUAACAAUUAUUCAGCAUUUAUGGCACUCUUACAUGCAUUACCUUAUUUAAAGUUCAGAACCACCAAGGAAAAGAGUAACUUGUGGCAGGCGUGAGAGGUUCCAAGGCACAAAAGGAAGAUAGGCAUUCAAGGAACACCAGGAUAGAAGACCCAGAGUAGGAGAAGAGAGAGGAAGAGGAGUCCGCCAGGUGGGAUGCUGGAAGCCAGGUGGGAUGCUGGAUACCUCGGUGGAGAGAGGGCGCUCCUGCUCCAUAAGCCUCCCUGCAACCGCAGGCCUACCCGGUCUUGCUCCUGCCGGCUCUGGGCAUCUCGUUUCUGCCGCUCCAUGUCCAGGGAGAUGGUGGCCAGGCUGUGCCGUGUACCCAUCAACUUCUCUGACAGUGCCGUCUUCUCAGACUCCUUCAGACACAAGGCCUGGGCAGAGGCAGGGGACAAAGGGCUUGGGGGAUGGGCUGGUCCUGGGGCAUGCUCAGGCUUCUUGCUGCCUAGGCAAUGUGCCCACUGGGGGCUUAGAGACCUGAGUGUGCCACUGCAGGUGGACCCAGGGCAGACAUGCAGCCCUGGAAAAGGGCACAACGGCAGUCACAAGAAUCCCGGAUGUGGAUACCACUCAUAGAGCUCACUAACCUGCCACGGCACCCUGACAGCAGAGUCUUUCUUUCUAACCAUUUUACAGAUGAGGAAACUGAGGCUCAAGGAGGUAAAGCGACUUGCCCAGGUACACAGCGGGUGAGGAGAGGAGAUGGGUGCAGUCUGCCCUGUCUCCGUUACAUUAUAUAAAAGUUAGGGAUCUGUUAUUUGGAGGGAUGGGUCAGCUGAUGCCUGUGGGCAUUGUGGGGACUGCUCAGAAGGCAGCCAUGAGGAUCCAUGCCAGGCCUGGGAUGGGACGACGCAUGGGAGAAUACGGAACAGCUUUCCUGGUGUCAUGACUGUCACUGUCACUCAGUAAGUGCUCACUGUGUGCAGGCAUGGAGCACAGCAAAGCCUCAUGAACCCCCUUCUAAUCCUCCCAUCCUGCAGGCGAGGAAACUGAGGCCCCCAAGAGGGCAGUGGCCUGCCCCAGGGCUCCUAGCUGCCAGGUGGCAGAGCGGGGCCCGGCCCCAGAACAGGAGCAGCUCAGAGGGCAGCAGAGGCCACACCAGGGCUCAUCAACCUGCUGCUUCUCGCUCUCUGCCAGGAGGAGGCCCUCGUCGCGCUCCUGCUGCAGGGCAGCAAUCUCCUCACUCAGCUCUUCCUUCUCAGCCUCCAGCCGGGCCAGCAGCUCCUCCUGCUCACGCUGCAGCUGACUCUGCAGCUGGGCCCGCUCGGCCUCCAGCUCCCGCCAUGCUGCCUCCUAGGGGGCCAGGACUGGACGCAUGUGACACACCAGGAGGGGCUCAGGCAGACCCCCCCAAAACAUCAGGGCAGCAAGAGCCAUCUGGCCCCCAUACUCUCAGAGACAGGGAGGGUGACUACGUAAAUACAAGGGAGUGAUGAGGGCUGUGACGGGGACACGCCAAGGCCGUGAAAGUACCUAGGAGCAGCAGUGGGCUGGCCUGGAGGUCCGAACAUGAUCCCCUGAGGAGGGACAAGUAACUGUCGGCCAGAUAAAGAGAGAAAAGACAACCCCAGGCCAAGAGCACAGUCCCUGGAAAGGCCUAGAGGAUGCAGGGCGCAGAGGGAAAUGGGAUGCGGUGAGCCACAGUGCCAGAGCCCCAGGCAGUGGCCGGGCCAGGACACGCCGUGUGGGCCAUGGGGAUUCUAAGGACAGUGAGGGGAGUGGGAGAGAGGACUCGAGCCAAGGUGACAAGGAGCAAUCUGAUUUUUAGCUUAGGGGAUGUUCCGACAGCUGUGGAAGAGGGAUUGGGGUUGGGAUAGAGGGGAGUUAGGACUGGCUGUGAGGAAUGAAGGGGGUCAGGGGUUGCCAGAGGAGCUGGAGAGAAGAACACAGAUUUGGGGACAUUAAUGAGGCCAAGCCAGGCAAUGCAAAGGGCAAGAAGAGCAAGGGGGAGGUCACAGGCGUUCAGAUCCCUGGGGACUGGAAAGGUGGGCAGGCAGAGCCCACAGGCAAAUAGCAGCCCAUCUGGGGAGCCCGAGGCCAGGUGCCUGCCUCAGCACUUGCCCUUAGCAACUCUGUGAGAAGCAGACAGAGCUGCCCCUUCUUUUUUUUUUUUUUUUUUUAAGACGGAGUCUCGCUCUGUCACCCAGGCUGAAGUGCAGUGGCGUGAUUUUGAAUUUUUUGUGAUUUUAGUAGAGAUGGGGUUUCACUGUGUUAGCCAGGAUGGUCUCAAUUUCCUGACUUCGUGAUCCGCCCACCUUGGCCUCCCAAAGUGCUGGGAUUACAGGCAUGAGUCAGCACGCCCGGCCAAGCUGCCCCUUCUUUAAGAGCUUCACCAUAGCUCAUGCCUGGAAUCCCAGCACUUUCGAAAAGAGCUUUACCGCUCCCUGCUGGAGAAGCCUGGUAACAACCACCCAAGGCCAUGGGGACUGCAGGGUGAGUGGCAUGCCCUGGAGCCAUGCAGUCAUAGCCUGCACCUCUGUCAGAGGCAGCCCUGUCUAGGAUUUGGUGGCCGAGGGCCCCUGUCCUGAGGGCCACUCUGGAGAGCAUGUCAGUGCCAGCAAUCAUAACUUAUGGAGCAUUUGCUAAGUACCAGUCACUAUGCUAAGCCCUCUAUGCAGAUGGUCUCAGCUCAUCCUCAAUACUUUCCACUAUCCUAUCCCUAUUUCUACAGGUGGGGAAAUGAAGGCACGGACACCUUGGGUAGAAUCACCAGUAAAUGACCAAGAUUAGAUUCAAACCCAGGCAAUAUAACCCCAGAGUCAGUGUUCUAGUAACUUCCCUGGCCCCUUGCCUUUCUAUAUGCUCAGGUCUGAGU
rnacentral:lncRNA from 1 species